UUUUUUUUUGUUAUGACCACUAUGCGAAAUGCACAAACCAAGAUAGCAAUUGUGUAUAUGCGGGAACAAUCUUGUGACACAAGAUAUGAUAUGAUGAUUCCUUGAUGAGGAUACCAAGAUGAUAUGGUAUGUAUGCAGUGGAAGGUGUAGAUCGAUGAUCACUAAUGUGCACAAGUAACAUUGCCGGCAAUACUCAAUGGCUAGUCUCGAUAGGCAAGUGACUCAAAAUGGGCUAGGGGUUAUCAAUACUAUGGCAAUAAGAAUGUAAAAUGAUGGGAUACCACGAUACCAAGAUGAUAUAGAGGUUACCGUUCUUGCAUAUGGUUAGGGUGUCAAAAUGGUGAAGGUGCCGAUGUCGAAUCCUUGGCGAAGUUGAGCGGCGGUGUUGUCGACGUUGAGCCGUUCCUAGUUAGCUGAAACACCCUAGGAAACGGAAAACCCGCAAACUCAAAAUCACCAAAGACAAAUGUCAAAUGGUGGUAGCGGAAAGCGGUGGUGGUUUUGUGGAGGCUCAAAGGAAUUGCAGAAGUGCAAUGAUGGGUUAUGCGAGUCAGAGUUGAAGUCACUGUCCCUAAUUAGCCGAAACACCUUAGGAGACACAACCCACAACUCAAACAAGCUCAAAUAAAAUUGGGUUAAGUUUAGGCGGCGGAAGUGUAUGGUGGGCAAGCUUAUGCGGAAGUUAUGGUGGUGGUUGAUGAAGAAGUAACCGUCCUUAAGUAGUCGAAACACCUUAGGAGAUUGGAAUCACUACUCAAGCAACCACCAAUGCUAUGGGGAACAAAAUGGGUUAGGUUGCGGAAGUCGAUGGUAGUAUAGGGGAUGAUGUGGUGAAGGCCCUAGGCAAAGAUGCCAAAGUUCCAAAAAUUGAUGAAGUCAAAUGAUGGUGGUUGUAUUUUUGUGUGAAGGGGGUGUCAAUAGCUUUAAAACAAGCUAAAGAACGUCAAAAUCCAAGUCCGGAAUUAGUUAUGGCCGAAACAAAAACCAGCUGAAAUCAAUAUCUACAUGUAACAGACGUCUGGUAAGUGUCGGAUGUCCGGUGGACGGACGUAGGUCAGGAAAUCCGUUAAUUUCGGUUCUGUUUGGUGGCACCGGUCAUCCGGAAGGUGUCGGUCGUCCUGUGCUUCAUGAGGGUCCGGACGUCCGGUAAACGUCGGUCGUCCGGUGGGUCGGGGUCAACUCGAGAUUCAAGAUUCGGGACACAAUUUUGCGAGGAAAUUGAAGAUUUUGGGGUCAAAAUUGAGGAGAUUUCGUGGAUGGAAAGUGGGGAAACUUGUGGAAGCUAUAUCCACUCAAAACACUAUCAAUCCAUGGAUCAAAAUCAACAAAACAUCAUCAAACCAACAAAUCGCAAAAAAAUGGGGCUAUUUUUGGUGGGGAUUUUUGAAAUUGGGGAAUAACACAACAAAAUUAGGCUAGAAAACGGGGGUAGGGACUCCAAAUUCAUGAUCAACCAUGGCUCAUGAUACCAAGAUGAUGUAGGGUGGAACCCUAGGGGCCGAUCUUUCACAAUUUGGAGGGGGAUUCCUGAAGAACACACAAGAACACACAAGAGGAAAACACUCAAAUUGACUUGAUCCAAUCACGCAUAUGCUAGAUGCAAACACACAAACAUACAUACAAAGGUACAAAUGCAAAAAAGGGGGAUACACGAGGUAACUAGUUCAUCUCCAUGAAGGAGGCCUUGAAUCCAUGGAGGAUCUUCCCUAGAUGGGGUCUUGAAUCCACUAGGGAUCUUCUCACAUGGAGGUCUUGAACUCCAUGGGAGUGGUCUCUCUCUCUCUCAAGGGGAGGAGUGGUAGAGGAGCAAAGCUCAUAUACAAAUGAGCUAUCACUUUGCUAACAAAUGGUGGAGGUGGAGGAGUAUAUAUAGUCUAGGGCCACGAAGGGGUAAGUGAGGGGCGAAACGGGUACAUGGGCCUUGGCCCGAGUCUUUGCACGCGGGCAGGUACCGGACGUCCGGUGGGUAACGGUCGUCCGUUGGCUCGUGGGCGUCCGGAUGUCCGGAAGUCUUCGGACUUCCGACGUUUCUUCUCUAGACAUGUGGCACCGGAUAUCCGGACGCUGUCGGUCAUCUGCUGGCUGACGAGUGUCAGACGUCCGGCGUCUGGCGGCUGUCCGGGCGUUGUAGGGUGCGUCGGCUGUAGUUGUCUUGGGUGGCUGGACCUCUAGGCGUCGGACGUCCGGUACGGACCGGUCGUCCGGUGGUUGUGACUUGCAGUCAGCUCUUUCUCUUGUUCCUCGCGCUUGGUGUUCUUGCCAUCUUGUCCAAUGCUCCUAGAUGUUCCAUGGUCUUCCUCUUGGUUCCUGGUCAUGCAUUGCACAUAUGUUUGAGGUAGUAGCCAUAUCUCACAUGUGGAAAGUGACGGUUCGGAGAGGAGCGAGUUCAGCUUGUGUCCAAUGGCGUAUGGUCGAGGUCUCAUUGUAUGUCCUCUUGGGGCUUGGGGAGUAGUCGCAUUGUACAUGGGAAUGACCGUAGGAUGCUGCGCAUCACUAUAGAUUUUGGGUAAUGAUUAUACUAUUGUUAUGAAUACAUUAUCUUGGUGUGAUGCCUUUGUUGAAGUAUAGACUAAUGAUAUUAACCAUUCAAUCAAGUGGGAGAAUGUUAGAAAAUUAAAUGAUUAAAUGGUUAAUAUAUUAAUUACUAUAAGUUAAAGUGGGAUCAUUAGUUAAUUAUGGGAUUAACACUAAUUAAUGGUAAUUAGCAAUUUGUGCCUGUGAUUGGGGGCUUACGAUUAUGGUUAGGUCCCACGUCAUAUACAACGCUAUAUAUAAAGAAGGGCAUCCCUGCACCUAUUUGAUCGCGGUGUCUCUUAGGAUACCAGUGCCCUCCGAUAACUACUCCGAAUCCAAUCAGGAGCGCGCUGGAUGUUGACGUGAAGGCUUGGCCUUACUCCAACGAGGUUUCGGAGUUGUGAUCGACUACGUUGCUGCAAUUCAUCACCAAUAUCAGACUACUCCCUCCACCAAGAUGGCCUCUUCAAACGAAGGUAUAAUCACUCUACUAUCCACUAAUUUCCGCAUCAAAUCAAAUAAUGUUCAUGUGUAUUAAAUAAGAUCUGAUUAACAGUUGCAUGAUCUCAGCAAUUAAAUCUAGCAACGAGAGCGCGACGAAAAUCCCCAUAGAGAGCUAGAGUUGGUCAUGCCUGCGGACCACGCCUCAUGGACCCUAGAGAGAGCCCGACCGGGUGUGGGCAUCUGCGCCGAUUGGGCGGCGCGGUACACGCCAGGGAGUCAACCACGGGAGGCCCUCAAGCAACAAACGGCGUGGAGGGCGCUCUCGCUCGCGGAGGCUCCCAUGAGGCGGUUGACUGGCACUAGCGACGCAACCCGACAGGGGGCGGCACACACUACUAUGGCCCCGGUCGCGCCCACGGCCCACCCAUCAUGGACCCCAGGGAAGUUGUCCGGAUGCGGGGCGCGCAGGCAAAUCGGAUGGCCGGGGGAUCUUCAGGGAGCUAGCCACGGGAGGCCCUUGCGCAACGGACGACGCGAGUGGCCUCCUCGUUUGCGGAGGCUCGGAGGAGGAGGCUCUCGGAAAGCGGUUACUCCACCAUUUUUUAUAGAAGUAAUGAGAUCGAAAAUGUUGAAUGGAGCUCGACCUCCACGAAGGCCGAAUUUGAAAUGAUCAAACUACAUAUUUGUACAUUUUAUUUUUCAUUUUUUUAAACAAAUACACAUAUAUUUAGAGAUGCAAUGCACAAGUGUGUAAAUUUCCAGGACCAUGUACGUUAAAUGAGUGCUAAAAAAUAUGUGGCAUUUCAGUAAAUGCACUAUUCAUACUCAAAGUUCAUGAUUAUUUUUUUCACAGCUCGCAUUUUAAGGUAUUUCAUUCUGAAAUUUUACCCAUAUACACAUCACAUCCUUGUAUGCUUGUACAAUUAUUUUAAAAAGAGUUAAACUGAGAAGUUUGAGUUUUAAAAUUUUCAAAAAUUCUGGCCUUCAUGGAGACCGAGCUCCAAAAUGCUCUACUCUAAUGAGACUCGUAUUACCAGAUAUACAAAUAUAAACAUAUACAUGUUGUGAUGUACCACAAUACCCCUACCGCUCACCAACCAACCGUAUAUUUCACCACCACGAACAGAGCACAAUCGCCCCCCUCGCGGCACUAUAUAAAUUCCGGCGUGCCCGCGCACAGAAGCAGGCUCGACUCAACCCAAAAGCACAUAGCUAGACUCGCGCAGCGGCUCGAACUCGUGGAAGCAAGCGCAGCUCACAGGCACUACCCAGCUCCGAGGCGAGGCGAGGCGAGGAGAACCAAGAUGGAGUCAUUGCUGGCAGCUGUGGCUGCCGGGGUGGAGCCGUUCCCGUCGGUGGACAAAUGCGACGCGUCGGGACGCGGCUCGCACGCCGUGGCAGCCGACCUCGACGGGACGCUGCUGCGGUCUCGCAGCCCGUUCCCCUACUACGCGCUGGUGGCGUUCGAGACCGGCGGGUGGCCGCGGCUCCUGCUCCUGCUUCUCCUCGCGCCGUUAGCCACCCUGCUGGGGAUCGCCGUAUCGGAGGCUGCGGCUGUCCGAGUGCUCGUUUUCGCGGCCACGGCGGGAGCGCGGGUGUCGUCGAUCGAGUCCGCGGCGCAGGCCGUGCUGCCGCGGUUCUACGCCGCGGACGUGCACCCGGGCGCGUGGCGGGUGUUCUCGGCGUGUUCCAGGCGCCGCGUCGUGCUCACCUCCACGCCGCGGAUCAUGGCGGAGCCGUUCCUGAGGGAGUGCCUCGGAGCCGACGCCGUGGCAGGCACCGAGCUCGCCACGUGGCGCGGCCGCGCCACUGGGAUGGUGCAGACGCGCCGAGGCGUGCUCGUCGGGCGACGCAAGGCCGAGGCGCUGCAUGAGAUAUUUGGCGAGGAUGGCGACGUGCCGGACGUCGGCCUCGGCGACCGCCGGUCCGAUUACCCCUUCAUGUGCCAAUGCAAGGUUAGCCCCUAGCCGGUAAUUAUAUCUCUUAAUUACUCCUUCUAUAUCCAUAGUGUAAUUCUUCGUAGCAUCCCCACUACUAGUAUCAGAAAUUCAGAAUCAACUUUGGAUGGUUUAGCAAUUAGCAUGCAAGGAGUGGACGUAGUACAUGUACUGUACAGUACGUUCACUGCCUAAGUGGUUAAUUAAUGUUUGAGAAAAACUCCACAAUGCAAAUUCGUUGCCGCGUUUGAAACAGAGUUGCAAUUUUAAGGCGCAUAUGGUACAUACAUUGGCGUCAUGCCUGCGUCUCUGCCAUACUAAAGUGCGAAGCGAGUCCAUGCUGUACGCAUCACGCAUGUGUGGUAGGGGUAUACGGUGUCAGGUUCAGCUCUAUUAUAUGCAUGUGCAAUAUUAAGUUCUAGACUGUUGGUACAAAAUGGCCCACACUGCCGUACUACGUAGAAACUACUUGUUGAUUUGCUUGCUGCAUAACAAAGUGGCUCAAAAGUUUAAAAACUAGUGGCCUUCCAAUCACCGUAAAACUACUCAUUCUUGAUCACACCGUGCCAAAUGCGUAGCUCGAGCGUGGAUUAAGGUAAGGUGAUCAUCGAUUACAACUGAGCCUAGGUUAGGCUCAAAAUUAGUUACUUAUCAACUAUCCCUAUUGUGCACUAACAGAUGCACUAAGAUUACACGCAAACAGUAUGGUUGGUUGGAUCACAUCUUGGCUCCCAUGCCCGCUGUUAUGAGCGUGCUGGUGAAGGACCCGACACGGCUUUGCUUGCCCCUACCUACGCGCUACGCAACAUUGAUUGAUUAAAGAAAAGCUCCGGCAGCAUCAAUUACAUUUACACGGCCAGCGUACCUGGUAGGUUGGUAGGUAAGUCCGUAAGUGGUGGUUUUGAUUUACUACUCCUGUAGUAGUACUACCAGUAAUAACUUUAUUGUUCAAAAAUAAAAGGUAGAAGAAAAUUAAAGAUUGUACGUAGAUAAUAAGUAAGAACAAGGUACAGUUAGGACACACACACGGUCAGCGCUUGGUGCACCUAGUUGGAUAGAACAAAGUUAAAUCUAAAGACUGGUAGAUAGUGCAUGCCCACAAGUUACAACAUCAUAUCAUAUUUAACGGCAGCAUACGACACGAAAUACCUUUCCUACGGGAUAGGAAGAAAAUAUUAGUCACGAGAUAGCUAAGUACUACCCACUGCGAUUCAAAAUAAGUGUCGCACUUUUAAACUGGUUUUAGUUCAAAACUGCGACAUUUAUUAUGAAAUCAGAGGUGAUACGUGUUUGGUGUUUGGUGUUAAAGCCAAAAUAGCUAUACGGCCGGACAGACAUGAACCAUGAUGGCGUCCUAGUUGCACGUGAUUAAUGCAUUUUAGUGUGCACUGCACGAGUCUUUAACAGUACAGUGAUCUUGAGCGUCUCUUUAAUUGUGGAAUUGAUGAACAUGGUGGGGGGCUUUGCUCCCGUGUGUGGCAGGAAGCGUACAUCGUACCGUCGGCGCCGGUGGAGGCCGUUAGCAUGGACCAGCUGCGGAGGCAGGUCAUCUUCCACGACGGCCGCCUGGCGCUCCGCCCGACGCCGCUGGCCGCGCUGCUGACCGUGCUGUGGUGCCCGGCGGGCUUCGUCCUCGCGUGCCUCCGCAUCGCCGCGGGGGCGCUGCUGCCCAUGCCCUGGGUCUACUACGCGUUCUGGGCGCUCGGCGUGCGCGUCGUGGUCAAGGGCAGCCCGCCCCCGCGCGCCGGGAGCACGGCGGGCCGCACUGGGGUGCUCUUCGCCUGCUCGCACCGCACGCUGCUGGACCCCAUUUUCCUCUCGGCGGCGCUCGGCCGGCCCGUGGCGGCCGUCACCUACUCACUGUCAAGGCUGUCUGAGAUACUCUCGCCGAUCCGGACCGUACGCCUGAGCCGUAACCGCGUCACCGACGCCGCCAUGAUCACGAGGCUCCUGCAGGAGGGUGACCUCGCCAUCUGCCCCGAGGGGACGACGUCCCGAGAGCCGUUCCUGCUCCGGUUCUCGGCGCUCUUCGCGGAGCUCACCGACGAGGUGGUCCCUGUGGCGAUGGAGAGCCGGAUGGGCAUGUUCCACGGCACCACGGCGAGGGGGUGGAAGGGGAUGGACCCCUUCUACUUCUUCAUGAACCCCAGCCCGGUGUACACCGUCACGUUCCUGAGCAAGCUGCCGUCGGAGCUCACCUGCAGCAGCGGCGGCAGGCCCAGCCACGAGGUGGCCAACUACAUCCAGAGGCUCAUCGCUGCCACGCUCUCCUACCAGUGCACCAGCCUCACCAGGAAGGACAAGUACCGGGCCCUCGCCGGCAACGACGGCAUCGUGGACGUCAAGCCGAUGAACAAGGCACGCUAGCUAAAUGAAUGUGAUUGCCCCGUGGCUAAUUCUGGCGUUUUACCAUAUCCAUAUUUAAUUAUUUGAUUUGCUUGUGUGGGUGGAUGUGCAUAUUGCUGAAAUCUGAGAUGGGCUCUAGGCCCAUAUUGCAAUUUCUGAAAAAUCUCUAAGGGCCCAUGUGGGUUAUAUGGCACUAGGUGAAGUGGGAAGUUUAGUCCCACCCCGAAAGUGGAAGGAGGGUUCCCUUCAAAAAAAAGGAAGUGGAAGGAGAGUUGGAGUGAUUUAUAAGGAUUUCUCUUCUACAUGCUAUUGGAGCUUGAGAAGAGAAGAGGCCCUCGCGCACUCCUCCGUCGCCCGCCUCGCCACGCCACGCCUCGCCUCGUCACGACGCGCCGCGCCGCGGGUUGCGGGAUUGAGCCGAGCCGAGCUCACACCUACGCGCUUAUUUUUGCCAGUCACUAACGGAGAAUUUUCUGACAGCUGGGCCACGAUCUGAGACGUCGGAUCGUGGGCUGUCACGGACUCGGACGUGGGUCGAGCCCACGUCUCUCCACGCGGCUGCGCCUAUAAGCAUGCGGUGUCUCCUAACCCUAGCCACCACGAACAGAUCACAUCUGCUCACGCGUCCGCCCACCGUCGUUCCUUUGCUGCUGCUGCCACCGGUGACUCCAUCCCAUCCGCCGCGUAGACGGUCGACGGGAGAGCAGAUCUCCGAAACCACGCCCUUCUGGUUCCUGUACGAGGUGAGGGGCGAAUAGGUUUUUGGGCAGUGAUUACGCGACUACUCGCUUCCGAUCGUCUACUUCCUCUACGUCCGCGUCGCCUUCAUUAUCACCAUGUCCACCGACGCCGACCGUGCCGCCGCCAAGAAAGUUGAAGCCGACAAGAAGGCCGCCGAGGACGCCGCUGCUGCCACCAAAGCUGCGGCCUCUGCGUGGCCUACUGGAGGGUAUAACUCGUUUAUCCCGCUCCUGAUUAUUUUCAUAUUAGCAGUACUAGCAGUAUGUGUAGAUUUGUCUACUGUUUGCUUAGUACGUGCAUGUUUAGAUCAGAGUCAGUACGUCAUCAACUUAGUCAAUGCCAUGCUAGUGAUUUACUCAUGGAUUAAUUUAAUCGAGAAAUUGCCUAUUUACUCAACAAUCCAAAAACCUAUUAUGUGUAGGAAUUUCUCGGCAAGUGGCUUUGCCGCUGCACUGAAACCCGGAUAAGUUUAUCGGUACAUACUUCAAGUGUUGGCAGACUAAGACCACGUUAUGGCUCACGGCUAUGAACGUGUUCUGGGUCACCGGUGUCUCCACGGGAACGAUUGCUCCUGAACAGGAGAAGGCGUUCAAGGAGGCUACCGUUGUGUUUCUCGGAGCAGUUCUUAGCGUGAUCGGAGAUAAACUGGUCGACGCAUAUUUACAUGUGCAUGUCGCCAAGGACUUGUGGGAGGCGCUCGAAUCUAAAUUCGGGGCCGCCGAUGCAGGGAGCGAGAUGUAUAUUAUAGAGCAGUUCCACGAUUACAAGAUGGUUGAAAACCGUCCUGUAUUGGAGCAGGCUCAUGAGAUAAUAUGCAGUGUUAAGGAACUUGAGCUUCUCAAGUGCGAGUUACCGGGCAAGUUUGUCGCGGGCUGCAUAAUCGCUAAGCUCCCUAAUUCCUAGAGGAACUUUGCCACCACUCUGAAACAUCAGAGGCGUGAAUUCUCUAUGGAGGAUGUCAUUGGCCAUCUGAGUGUUGAGCAGAAUUCGACGGCAAAAGACUCACACGGAAAAGGGGUCGAAGGGACUUCUAUUGCCAACAUGGUGAACCAGAAGAACUUCAACUCCCACAAGCCCAAGGGAAAGAACGGUGUCCAACACAACACCGACUUUAAGAAGAAGGGUAAGAAGACCUUCAAGAAGAACAAGAAGGACGAGGGCUGCUUUACUUGUGGUUCGGUUGAACAUUGGGCCAACAAGUGCCCAAACAAGUACAAGAAGUCAGGACAGGACUCCAAGUCUGUCAACAUGAUUGUGGCCAACAAUGAGAAUGGUGCAUCUGGGUACGGUAAUUUAUUUACUGUUUUUUCAGUGUUUCAACCCAACGAUUGGUGGGUGGACACAGGUGCAGGUGUUCAUGUGUGUGCUGACAUUUCAUUGUUCACUUCUUACCAGGUCACAGGUCACGGGUCCGUAUUGAUGGGGAAUGGCGCGAGUGCUUCUGUUCAUGGUGUUGGCACGGUCGAUCUGAAGUUUACUUCGGGAAGGAUCGUGCAGCUGAAGAACAUGCAGCAUGUCCCCGCCAUCAAGAAGAACCUCGUUAGUGGCUCCCUUCUAUGUAGAGAAGGGUUUAAGUUGGUUUUCGAGUCUAAUAAAUUAGUUGUUACAAAAUAUGGACUCUUUGUUGGAAAAGGUUAUGAGAGCGGAGGGAUGUUCCGCCUUUCCCUCGCAGAUUUUUGUAAUAAAGUCGUGAACCAUAUUCACUCGAAUGUUAAUGAAUCUGAAGUUUGACAUUCACGUCUUUGUCACAUUAGUUUUGGUGUUAUGACGCGGCUAGCCAAGUUGGAUUUAAUCCCGAGUUUCACUUUAGCCAAAGGUUCUAAGUGCAUUUCAUGUGUGCAAGCUAAGCAACCUCGCAAGCCUCAUAAGGCCGCGGAGGAGAGACACCUGGCACCAUUAGAACUCAUACAUUCUGAUCUUUGCGAGAUGAAUGGUGUGUUGACUAAAGGUGGAAAGAGAUACUUCAUGACAUUGAUAGAUGAUUCCACUAGAUAUUGCUAUGUGUAUCUGUUAAAUACUAAAGAUGAGGCUCUAUACUACUUUAAAAUCUAUAAGGCAGAAGUUGAAAAUCAACUUGAAAAGAAAAUUAAACGAGUCCGGUCAGAUCGUGGUGGAGAGUACUUCUCCAGUGAGUUUGAUUCCUUCUGUGCGGAACACGGCAUUAUUCACGAGAGGACGCCUCCCUAUUCACCCCAAUCAAACGGGGUUGUCGAGCGGAAAAACCGUACUCUAACUGAUUUGGUUAACGCCAUGUUAGAUACAUCGGGUUUAUCCAAGGCAUGGUGGGGGAGGCUAUAUUGACGGCAUGUCAUGUCCUGAAUAAAGUUCCGACAAAGGAUAAUGAGAUCACUUCCUAUGAGAAAUGGGCAAAGAGAAGGACGACACUCUCGUACUUGCGCACUUGGGGCUGUUUGGCGAAAGUCAACGUGCCGAUCCCCAAAAAGCGUAAGCUUGGACCCAAGACCGUGGACUGCGUUAAUUUGGGCUACGCUAAGAACAUCGUUGGCUAUAAAUUUUUAGUAGUGAAAUCUGAGGUACCUGACCAGAAGGUCGGUACAAUUAUGGAGUCUAAGGAUGCUACAUUCUUUAAGGAUAUUUUUCCUAUGAGAGAUAUGCAAAGCACUUCUAGACAGGAAUCUGAGGAAACUCCUGAACCUGCCGUCCCUAUGGAAUAUUAUGAACAAACACAUGAUGAAAAUCCUGAGGAGGAUGACGAGGAAACCCUUGGUAGGGGCAAGAGACAAAGGACUGCAAAGACCUUUGGUGAUGAUUUCUUCGUGUACCUCAUGGAUGAUACUCCCACUUCUAUUUCUGAAGCGUAUGCCUCUCCAGAAGCUAACUACUGGAAGGAUGCGGUCCGUAGCAAGAUGGAUUCCAUCAUGGCUAACGGGACAUGGGAGAUCACUGACCGUCCCUAUGGUUGCAAACCACUGGGAUGUAAGUGGGUGUUCAAAAAGAAGCUUAGGCCCGAUGGUAUGAUUGAAAAGUACAAGGCUAGGCUUGUGGCCAAGGGUUAUGACCAGCAAGAAGAGGAAGAUUUCUUUGAUACUUAUUCACCUGUGGCUAGACUGACCACCAUUCGAGUAUUACUCUCGUUGGCGGCCUCACAUGGUCUUCUCGUCCAUCAGAUGGAUGUUAAGACGGCUUUUCUAAAUGGAGAGCUAAAGGAGGAAAUCUACAUGCAACAGCCUGAUGGCUUUGUGAUAGAUGGUCAGGAAAGAAAGGUGUGUAGGUUGAUAAAAUCUUUAUAUGGCCUGAAACAAGCACCUAAGCAAUGGCAUGAUAAGUUUAAUACAACUCUGACAUCUGUUGGUUUCGUUGUUAAUGAGGCUGACAAAUGUGUAUACUAUCGCAAUGGUGGGGGCGAAGGAGUUAUACUGUGCUUGUAUGUUGAUGACAUACUGAUAUUCGGAACAAACCUCAAAGUCAUUGAGGAGGUCAAAUCGUUUCUAUCUCAGAACUUUGAGAUGAAAGACCUUGGUGUGGCUGAUGUUAUCUUGAACAUCAAGCUACUGAGAGAUAAUGAGGGUGGAAUCACACUUCUGCAAUCCAUUACGUUGAGAAGGUGUUGAGUCGUUUUGGAUAUUCGGACUGCACACCAUCUCAAACACCAUAUGAUCCUAGCGUAUUGAUUCGAAAGUCCAAAGGCAUGGCUAAAGAUCAAUUGAGAUACUCUCAAAUCAUUGGUUCACUAAUGUACCUAGCGAGCGCAACGAGGCCUGACAUCGCGUUUGCUGUGAGCAAACUGAGCCGAUUUGUUUCCAAACCGGGUGAUGUACAUUGGCAUGCUGUUGAGAGAGUUAUGCGCUAUCUGAAAGGUACUAUGAACUAUGGACUUCACUAUACCGGAUACCCGUCGGUACUUGAAGGGUAUAGUGAUGCGAAUUGGAUCUCUGAUGCUGAUGAGAUGAAGGCCACAACUGGGUAUAUGUUUACUCUUGGAGGUGGCGUUGUUUCCUGAAAGUCUUGCAAGCAAACGAUCUUAAUGAGAUCGACAAUGGAAGCAGAAUUAACAGCAUUAGACACAUCUGGUGUUGAAGCGAGAUGGCUUCGAGAUCUUUUAAUGGACUUGCCAUUGGUUGAUAAACCGGUUCCGGCUAUCCUUAUGAACUGUGAUAAUCAGACUGUCAUCACCAAGGUGAAGAGUUCAAAGGACAACAUGAAGUCCACCAAACACAUAAGAAUGAGAUUAAAAGCUGUCAGAAAAUUAAGAAACUCCGGAGUGAUAGCGUUGGACUAUGUCCAUACGGCUAAGAAUCUGGCAGAUCCCUUUACAAAAGGGCUAUCACGUGUUGUGAUGGAUAAUGCAUCGAGGGAGAUGGGUAUGAGACCCACAUGAGUUGCCAUGGUGGUAACCCAACCUAUGUGAUCGAAGAUCCCGUGAACUAGGACCUGGGAAAACAAGCCAGUGGUGAACUGAGGAGAGUAACUAUACUAACCCACUCCGUUGGAGAUGCAAUACUCUCGAUACUGUAUGGUAGGAUGACUACGGUCUCAAUGUGUUCCAAAGCUUAUAAAAGCAAGAUGCUAUCCUACAGAGCGAUCUUUGGAGGAACACACCUAUAUGAGCCCGACUGCUGGUCACAGUCUAUGAGAUUAGGGUGAUCUCUAGUAAGCUCAUGAAUAGGCCAGGAGUGUGACUUAUAUGCUCCACCGGAGGGGUCAGCCUUCGGCAGCCUAGUACUAGUAAGACAUGUAGUGAAACUUCUUUACGCCAAACCGACAAUUCAAGGCAUAAUCCAUUGGUCAGUUGUGAAGGAGUGUAGCCACUUGUUCUAGGUGAAGUUCAACCUUAACAGGUCUUCACUGAAACACUGGUAUAUCGAAACAGCAAUUGGAACAGAGGACACAAUGGGCCCUUGAGAUCUGGUGGGGGAUUGCUGAAAUCUGAGAUGGGCUCUAGGCCCAUAUUGCAAUUUCUGAAAAAUCGCUAAGGGCCCAUGUGGGUUAUAUGGCACUAGGUGAAGUGGGAAGUUUAGUCCCACCCCGGAAGUGGAAGGAGAGUUGGAGUGGUUUAUAAGGAUUUCUCUUUUACAUGCUAUUGGAGCUUGAGAAGAGAAGAGGCCCUCGCGCACUCCUCCUCCGCCGCCCGCCUCGCCACGCCACGCCUCGUCACGACGCGCCGCGGGUUGCGGGAUUGAACCGAGCCGAGCUCACACCUACGCGCUUAUUUUUGCCAGUCACUAACGGAGAGUUUUCUGACAGCUGGGCCACGAUCUGAGACGUCGGAUCGUGGGCUGUCACGGACUCGGACGUGGGUCGAGCCCACGUCUCUCCACGCGGCUGCGCCUAUAAGCAUGCGGUGUCUCCUAACCCUAGCCGCCACGAACAGAUCACAUCUGCUCACGCCCACCGUCGUUCCUUUGCUGCUGCUGCCACCGGUGACUCCAUCCCGUCCGCCGCGUACACGGUCAACGGGAGAGCAGGUCUCCGAAACCACGCCCUUCUGGUUCCUGUACGGGGUAAGGGGCGAAUAGGUUUUUGGGCAGCGAUUACGCGACUGCUCGCUUCCGAUCGUCUACUUCCUCUACGUCCGCGUCGCCUUCAUCAUCACCAUGUCCACCGACGCCGACCGUGCCGCCGCCGAGAAAGCUAAGCCGACAAGAAGGCCGCCGAGGACGCCGCUGCUGCCACCAAAGCCGCGGCCUCUGCGUGGCCUACUGGAGGGUAUAACUCGUUUAUCCCGCUCCUGAUUAUUUUCAUAUUAGCAGUACUAGCAGUAUGUGUAGAUUUGUCUACUAUUUGCUUAGUACAUGCAUGUUUAGAUCAGAGUCAGUACGUCAUCAACUUAGUCAAUGCCAUGCUAGUGAUUUACUCAUGGAUUAAUUUAAUCAAGAAAUUGCCUAUUUACUCAACACAUAUGCACCGGCAGUGAUUAUCUUUUCCUCUUUGAUUAUUACGUACUCCAUUUGUGAUCUUCUCUGAGCAUGUUGCCAUUGUACCAGCUGGGAGUUGAAUGCAGUUUUACUACACAAACUGAGAAAAGGAAUAAUAGAUGAGAAAUUGGGGACAGGAAAUUAUUCUUGCUCGUGUCAGCAUCCACCUGCAGGCAACAGCUCAGGACAUAUAAAAGCAAAGUUAUUCGGUUUGGUAGAUUCCGUCCCACUCAGCGAACCAACAGCUCAACAAGUAAAGACCACGUCAAGAAGAUAAGAUUCAGAUCAGAUCGUUUUCUUUUCCAUUUUGUGCUGCCAUCUUGUUUUCUUGUCCCGCCAGAACAACAUAGUACAACGUUGAGGUCCAAGGAGACGACACUGACCCAAUGGAACAAGAUUGCUGGAUCCAUCUUCAUUAAUUUGAUUGCUCGGCUAAAACGGGUAAACAAGAAAGUUCUGAGCAGCCCCAAAAGACAAAGUUCUUAGCGAGUAUAGUGUAUUUUUCUUUCUCCAGCUGCAGUUUAAUUCCAUUCCAGAUCACACAUGCUAUCUAUGAGCAGUCACACACACCCUGGACCCGGUACUGGGCCAGUAAUUUAUCGAUGCCGUGUGAUGACGGUGGAUGGGUGGAUUAAAAAUUAACUUAC
rnacentral:lncRNA from 1 species